rnacentral:rRNA from 1 species
AAGCGCUUGUGACCAGACUUGCGUCCGGUGAAUCACCCAGCUCUCGCGGCUGGGGCACUUCGCCGGCACAGGCCAGCAUCAGCUUGCCGUCGGGGACAAAAGCUUCAGGAACGUAGCUCUCUUCGGGGUGUGUUAUAGCCU